GACGAACGCUGGCGGCGUGCCUAAUACAUGCAAGUCGAACGCUUCUUUUCCCACCGGAGCUUGCUCCACCGGGAAAAGAGGAGUGGCGAACGGGUGAGUAACACGUGGGUAACCUGCCCAUCAGAAGGGGAUAACACUUGGAAACAGGUGCUAAUACCGUAUAACAAUCGAAACCGCAUGGUUUCGUUUUGAAAGGCGCUUUACGGUGCCGCUGAUGGAUGGACCCGCGGUGCAUUAGCUAGUUGGUGAGGUAACGGCUCACCAAGGCCACGAUGCAUAGCCGAACUGAGAGGGUGAUAGGCCACAUUGGGACUGAGACACGGCCCAAACUCCUACGGGAGGCAGCAGUAGGGAAUCUUAGGCAAUGGACGAAAGUCUGACCGAGCAACGCCGCGUGAGUGAAGAAGGUUUUCGGAUCGUAAAACUCUGUUGUUAGAGAAGAACAAGGGUGAGAGUAACUGUUCACCCCUUGACGGUAUCUAACCAGAAAGCCACGGCUAACUACGUGCCAGCCGCCGCGGUAA
rnacentral:rRNA from 1 species